CACAACCUAUCAAAUGUUCCCAUAAUGUAUAUAUUUUUUGCACAGGGAUAUGCAUUUUCUCACUGCAGUCGAUUCUGACCCAUCAGCAAGGUUGUGUUCGAGUUGUGCAGGCUUGUGUCACCUGACUUAAAGAAGGCAUUGUUUGAAGGGCUUGAUCAGCACCUCCCACGGCUCCUGCAGUUGUACAACACCGAGAGGCAGUGAAAUACCCGAAAUCCAACAUGUGAUGACCCGCAUUGAUCAAGAGACAGGAGCCUGUGGUUUCCUACUCUGAACGCUGUUCGAGCCAUGUCGACUUCAGGAGGCCCCACUCCACCCUUCACCACCCUGUCAGUCACCCACCCAGCCAAUCACAUCACUCCUGUAGAGCUGCACCGACCAGAGAAACGCAACGCCAUGAACUAGGCCUACUGGAGGCACGGAUGCUGAUCACAGAGGAGAGCCUGAUGACCACGAUCGUCCGCACAUUCGAUGAUCACCUGAGACAUCGAGACCAGCAGGGACAAUUUCAGUUUGAACUCUACAGUGCACAAAAGAUAUGUCCUGAUUAGCCGUUCAACAGAGUGGACCGACAAGCUCAGGGAGAAGUUUCUGGAAGGACUUGAUGCUUUCUUGGAGCCGCUCAAGUCCAUGCAGGUAUGGACCCAGUAGUACGCGACGUGGACCAAGACAUAGAGAUGGAACCAUUGUGGGUGACAGCCUUCACAUUGCAGAUGAAGCUCACACACAUUAUCUCAGUGAUGCAAGAGUGGUGUGCCAGUGAUAUGAGGACUCGCUCGAGCUUCACAUGGUGCGGCUGGAACUGGAAAAUGUGGAGAAGCAGAUCCGCGGCCUACUCGACAAGCAGGCCCAGCUGCUGGAGCAACAAACUGCGCUGGAAACAUCUUGUGCCUCUGCCCACAUAUCCAAGGUAAGCACACAGCGUGGUAUUUCCACUCCCAGCCCCUCUACGCCGUGUGUUUCUCUGUGCAGGGACCGUGCACCUAGGACUUUCCCAGCCGUGGUCUCCGUCACGCCGGCG
ensembl:lncRNA